rnacentral:lncRNA from 1 species
UUACCAAUUUAAACUAUUCCCUCCUCCAGAGAGGCCACCUUGCCUUCUUAGAAAUCAGGGGGUUGAGUGAUAACGUCAGAACGUAUUUCAUCACAGAAUGGGGAGGAAGACGUGCUUCCGUUAUUCCUGAGGCUGUCCUGAUCUCUUAAGCCCAUGUGAGUUAAGUUAAUGAAUGGCUGAAGGCAAAGAUAGAAAGGGACCAUUUGAUCCCCUUCCAGCUUUCCCUGUUCAGAUACAGCCUGCGCUCCCAGUCCUUCCAGACACACCAUGAUAAACGUCCUGGCCAUAAUUGUGGCAUUGGUUAUGUCCCGUUAUGUCCAGGGCAGGAUCUUUCCGUUUUUGUCUCUUGUUUGUUCAUUUAUUCAAUGUCAGUUCAUAGACCUCUGGUUCUAGACCUGGUGUCUGUCAACACAGGACAUGGUGGACAAAAUUACUGCACAUGGAUGAAGAUGCCAUAGUCCUGUGCCACGUGGGUUAAUGAAUGAUCAGAGGCAAAGAUAGAGAAAGGGCCCUUUAUCCCCACCUGGGUUUCUCCGUUCAGAUACAGCCUGAAUUCCCAGUGCUUCCAGACUCACCAUGAUGAAGUUCCUGGUCCUCAUUGUGGCGUUGGUUAUCACCACAGGAUCCCGGGCUUCCGCAGCACCAGAGCGAGUUUCAAAGGUGAAGGAAUUGAGGGAUUCCUUCAAGGGACUUCCAAUGUUAUCCAUAGUCAUCUGGGGUAUGGCAGACAGAAGCAAGACAGCCCCGGAAUUGUCGUAAGCAAAUCCAUUACUGUAUAUGUUUAAUAGCUACUGGCAUUGUUGUCGGCAUAUUACACCAACAGUUUCAGCCACUAGCGGGAGUACAUCCAUUUUCUGUCUCUUUUAUUUAGGUACAC